CCUGGAUCUCUCUUUCCAGGAAGAGCAGCAGUCUCCGAUGCCACCCUGGAAAGGCGGGACCUUGGUGGGCAUAGCUGGUGUUUGAGAUUCAAGGGUCCCGAAAACUAUUUUGGAUGGAUCCAUGUCAUAGUAAGUUUUGAAAUGGACCAAAUGGGCGUGUUUAUCACUAGCCCUCCUUAUGUUGUGAAAAUGGGGGUUUUAAGUUCUCCUUAUGUGCGACCAAUAUAUUGUGUUUGAUAUGGACAUUCCAGGAUAUAAAGAAUUCUUUUUGAGUUACAGAUAGAUGCUGGUGGGACAACUACCAACAUCAUGCUUAUACCUGUGCUGCUGAAGAAAGGACAGUAGUGCUGAAAUGCGUCUAGCCUGGUUUAUCACAUUUGGGACAUCAUUUAUUUAUUUUAUGUAUUUAUUAUAAUCUUAGCCACUGCAGUGUGUCGGCAUUAUCUGACAGCGGAGAUUACUGCCGGGAACCACGAGGUGUAGCAUCCAGAACAUCACCGCUCCAAAAAAGUAAAAAAAAAAUGCUGCUGCACAGACUAAACAAACUACAGACUGAUGCUGCAGAAACAGACCCAAUCUCCUCUCCUG